rnacentral:rRNA from 1 species
UACGGAGGGUGCGAGCGUUGUCCGGAAUCACUGGGCGUAAAGGGCGCGUAGGCGGCCAUGCGUGUCUUUCGUGAAAUCCCUCGGCUUAACUGAGGACGUGCGGAAGAAACUGCAAGGCUUGAGUCCGGAAGAGGCGAGUGGAAUUCCUGGUGUAGCGGUGAAAUGCGCAGAUAUCAGGAGGAACACCAAUGGCGAAGGCAGCUCGCUGGGACGGUACUGACACUGAGACGCGAAAGCGUGGGGAGCAAACAGG